rnacentral:rRNA from 1 species
AUUGAACGCUGGCGGCAUGCCUUACACACGCAAGUCGAACGGUAACGGGCCUUCGGGUGCCGACGAGUGGCGAACGGGUGAGUGAUGUAUCGGAAUGUACCUUUCAGUGGGGGAUAACGUAGCGAAAGUUACGCUAAUACCGCAUAUGCUGUGCGCAGGAAAGCAGGGGAUCGCAAGACCUUGCGCUGAUUGAGCGGCCGAUAUCAGAUUAGCUAGUUGGUGAGGUAAAGGCUCACCAAGGCGACGAUCUGUAGCGGGUCUGAGAGGAUGAUCCGCCACACUGGAACUGAGACACGGUCCAGACUCCUACGGGAGGCAGCAGUGGGGAAUUUUGGACAAUGGGCGCAAGCCUGAUCCAGCCAUGCCGCGUGAGUGAAGAAGGCCUUCGGGUUGUAAAGCUCUUUCGGCCGGGAAGAAAUCGUAUGGGUUAAUACCCUGUGCGGAUGACGGUACCGGCAUAAGAAGCACCGGCUAACUACGUGCCAGCCGCCGCAGUAAUAC